AUUGAACGCUGGCGGCAGGCUUAACACAUGCAAGUCGAGCGGAGAUGAGGUGCUUGCACCUUCUCUUAGCGGCGGACGGGUGAGUAAUGCUUAGGAAUCUGCCUAUCAGUGGGGGACAACAUUACGAAAGGAAUGAUAAUACCGCAUACGUCCUACGGGCGAAAGAAGGGGAUCUUCGGACCUUGCGCUAAUAGAUGAGCCUAAGUCGGAUUAGCUAGUUGGUGGGGUAAAGGCCUACCAAGGCGACGAUCUGUAGCGGGUCUGAGAGGAUGAUCCGCCACACUGGGACUGAGACACGGCCCAGACUCCUACGGGAGGCAGCAGUGGGGAAUAUUGGACAAUGGGGGGAACCCUGAUCCAGCCAUGCCGCGUGUGUGAAGAAGGCCUUAUGGUUGUAAAGCACUUUAAGCGAGGAGGAGGCUACUGAGACUAAUACUCUUGGAUAGUGGACGUUACUCGCAGAAUAAGCACCGGCUAACUCUGUGCCAGCCGCCGCCGUAACAC
rnacentral:rRNA from 1 species